rnacentral:pre_miRNA from 1 species
CGGGGGAAGCGCCCGAUCCUGGGCUGUGUCCCCCCGUGCCCUGGGCUCCAGGGCCUUUGCCGCUGGAAUCGCGCUCCCAGGGCCGCACAGCCCCCA